rnacentral:rRNA from 1 species
GUCGUACAGGUCUCCGUUGGUGACCAGCGGAGGGAUCAUUACCGAGUUUACAACUCCCAAACCCCUGUGAACAUACCAAUUGUUGCCUCGGCGGAUCAGCCCGCUCCCGGUAAAACGGGACGGCCCGCCAGAGGACCCCUAAACUCUGUUUCUAUAUGUAACUUCUGAGUAAAACCAUAAAUAAAUCAAAACUUUCAACAACGGAUCUCUUGGUUCUGGGCAUCGAUGAAGAACGCAGCAAAAUGCGAUAAGUAAUGUGAAUUGCAGAAUUCAGUGAAUCAUCGAAUCUUUGAACGCACAUUGCGCCCGCCAGUAUUCUGGCGGGCAUGCCUGUUCGANCGUCAUUUCAACCCUCAAGCCCAGCUUGGGGUUGGGACUCGCGAGUCAAAUCNCGUUCCCCAAAUUGAUUGGCGGUCACGUCGAGCUUCCAUAGCGUAGUAGUAAAACCCUCGUUACUGGUAAUCGUCGCGGCCACCCCGUUAAACCCCAACUUCUGAAUGUUGACCUCGGAUCAGGNAGGAAUACCCGCUGANCUNAAGCAUAUCA